rnacentral:lncRNA from 1 species
UUUCAACCCCCAAUCUUAAAAAAAACAAAAAAAACUUCCAUGCUCUCUUCCCCUCCCCCUUUUUCUUUCUGUCGAUUGGGUUCCUUAGAGACCCGCCCUACCCCCAACGACGACGGUGAUGACCGCCGUGUACAACGAAGCAGCGCAACCUAGGUACUCCUACUUUAAAAUUUUUUUAUGUUUCUUGGUUAAAAAAAAAGUUUUCUUGAAAUAAAAAGGAAAAAAAAACAAUGAAUAAAUAUAAAAAAAAACAAGGUAAGCAGAGAACAAAAAGAAGAGAAAAGGAAAAAAAGAACAAAACUAAACCUCUUGAACCUUCCUUCUCUUUUUUGUUUUCAUAUCCGUUUUUAUUUCCAAUAUCUGUGUUACAAUCUUUCUUUUAAAAAAAAUAAACCCCCCCUUUUACAACAUUUUUGAAUGGCUUUUUAUAGCCAUCUUUUACAAGUUUUUUUAUUACUUUUGCCAUAUUUUCCCGUCUUGCUUGUUUGCUCUAUUUUUGUAGGGUAUGGGGGCGACUGGUGGAGCAGGUGAUGGUGGCUGGUGUCAGAGGAAAGUGGGGAGGUGGCUAGGGUUUUUUCUUUGCUGGAAAAUGUUUAGUAGGUUAGUUUAGGUGGGCUGUUGGUUUAGAUUGGGUUUGAUGAUGUUGGGCUGAUGAAAUUGGGGUGGGUAUUUGGUUGUAUUUGGGCCAAAAUUGGCCUACAACAGUAUGUAUGUAAACUAUAUAUAAUGUUUGAUAGUGAGAAUAUAACUAAUAAUGUUAAAAUAUAUACAUAAUAUAUACAUGUAUACAUAUGAAAAAUGUGUGCACAUGACGUAUAUGAAAAAUAUAUACAUAGUAAUAUAAAAUAAUAAGUGAUGAUAGUAAAACUAAUGGGUAUAAUAAUUAUAAUGAUAUACGAAAAUAAUACUAUAUAUAAAAUAUGCAUACAAGUAUAAUAAAAUAUAUGUCUUGAUAUUAAUAACAAACAUAGUAGGAGUAAAAUAAAUGUAAUAAUGAUAUAUACACAAUAUGGUAUUAAGAAUAUAUAUAUAUACAUAUAAAAUAUAGUAUUUAAAAAUAUAUACAUAAGAUGGUAUAAAAAUAUGUACAAGGAAAUGUAUAAGAAAUAUAUAUAAUUAGUAAUAUUAAAAAUAUAUACAUGACAUAUAUAAAACAUAUACAAUAUAUACAUACCUUAGAAAUGAUAAUAAUAAUAAUAAACUACUUUGUACCUACACAAAUAUAUACACACACAUAUAUAUAUAAAUAAUAGUAUUAGAAAUAUACAAUAUAAUAUUAGAAAUAUACAUAUAAUAGUAUAAAAAAUAUAUAACUAAUAAUAUUAAAAUAUAUAUAAUAAUAUAUAAAAAAAAUAUAAUAUUGAAAACAUAUAUACAUAACAUACCUGAAGAAUAUAUAUAAUAUAAUAUUUAAACAUUUACAUAAUAUAUACAUAUUAGAAAUAAAUAACGACUAAUAAUAAUAAUAAUAUUAGAAAGAAUAAUGAAGUAUAUAAAAAAGCAAAUAUAAUAUAAUAAUAAUAUUAAAAUAAAGUAAUUAAAAUAGUACUAUAUAUAAAUAUAUAUACAUACAUAUAUAAUAUACAUACAUUAAUAUUAAUAAUAAUAAUAAAACUAGAAAUAAUAAUAAUUAGUAAUAAUAAUACGUUAGAAAAUAAUUAAUAUGUUAAUAAAAAUAAUAGUAAUGAAAAUAAUACUAACAGUAAUAAUAAAGAUAAUAAUAGAAAUAAAAUAAUAGUAAUAAUAUUAAUAAUAUGUAAAAAAUGAAAAUAAACGAAAAAGGACUAAAUCGAACUAAGAACAGAAUUUUGGGGCAAAUUUAAAAAGAAAUAAAGGGCAAAGGACCAAAAUGAACACGCGGGCAACUCUGGGGGAUCAAAAGCGCAAUAUUCCCUCCUCCUAAAACGCAGCGCAUGGUAUAGGACUAGAUCACAAAGCGCGACAAAUUUCGGGGCCUAAUUAGGAAAUAUUAAAAACUCAAUUGCGAAAACAUGAAAAGGCGGAAGGGCCAAUCGCGCAAUUAGACCAUCAAACAAAAACACGCGAUCCUAGGGUAAGACGGGUCAGGUCGGAUCGGGUUAGGCCAAAACGAUGUCGUUUUGGGGUUAAAGGGCAGCCCCCAAAACGACGUCGUUUUGGAGGGCUAUAUAAGGCCAAUUUUUGACAAAAAAAUCAUUUUGAGGAGAUAAAGGAAAAAAAAGAAAGGAGAAAGAAGAGAGAAGGGAGGGGGAAAGGAAAUCCGGCCAGGGGGGCAGGAAAAGGUAAAAAUUUUCCUUUUUUUAUAUUUUAAUAAUAUAUAUAUAUGUAUAUGUAUAUAUAUAAAGAAAGAAAAAAAACAAAAAAAGAAAGGAAAAAGAUUCGAAAGAAGAGGAAAAAAAUGCAAGCUUUUUUGUUGAUGUUUCUUUUGUGUUCAAAAUUCGGAGGGAUUUUUGUAUUUUUUUCUUUUCAAUCUUUUUAAAAAAUCCCCCUGUUUACAAUUGGAUCUGGCUCUUAUAGCCAUUUUAAAACAAUAUUUUAAACCUCUUGCUACUGCUCCUGUAUUGUCUGCCUCUGUCUUGGUGUUUGUCUUCUUUUGCAGGGUAUGGCCAUUGUCAGAGAAGCAUGGUGGGCAGCAGUGGAAUGGUGGUGGUAGUGGCUGGUGCUAGGUCUCGGGCAGAGACAUGCCUAGCAUGCGGCGGCCUAGGGUUUCCCUUGGCUGAAAGUUUUGGUUUUUUUUUGGAGGUUAAGGUUAGAAUUGGGCUAUUUGUUAUUGGGCUAAUUUGGGUAUGGGUAGUGGUUAGGUUGGCAUUGGGUUGUAUUUGGGUUUAUGGGGUUUGGGUAAUUGGGCUGUACUUGGGCUUUAUUUGGGUUAAUUUAGAUGGGUAUUAGGUUUAUGAAAUGGGUUGAGGUUUAAGUGUCGAUAAAAUUGGGCUGUGGGUAUUUUGUAAAAAGGCCCAAAAUUGGCCUACAACAAACGACUUCAACCAUGUGGGUAGUUUAAAUCCGAUCACUAUCUCACUUGACAGAAUCUAACUGGUUUUUCCCACUUGAACACGCCAAUUUGUUCUUGGGAUUUUGAAUACAGCACGGCCGACCCAACUUCCCAACUAUACGCCAAACGAUUCCAACCCAACAUUCACUUUUUGAAUUGAAAUCGAAUCAACUUUAAGGGACGAAUUUGUACUAUCACAUAUACUGGACAGAUAGCGAAUAUUGAAUUGUAAGGUAUUUAGUGUGGGUUUAUAUCUCGUGAUUACUUUGUCGGAGCGAUAACCAAACUAAGACUAAAAAAAUUUAGUUAAAUAUAAAAUAAAUCAUGCUAGAUGGAGUAUGGAAGUGGCUUUUAGUGGAAAGGGGAAAGGGGAAAAGGCUUGGAACACAAUUAAGCCAAAAUGUUGAAAGUAAAAGAAAGAAAAUGAAAUGGUAGAAUGAAGUAGGGACGCAGAAAUGGAAAGGAAAAAGAAAAAGAAAAUAAUUUAUUAAUGUCAAAAGCCAAGUGUGUUCAGUUGGUUAUAGUCACUAAGUUUUAUGAACACUUUUAGAGCACGUUUGGUUCGCUGUAUUGGAUUAGAGGUGUAUUGGAUUAGAGGUGUAAUGGAAUAGAGGUGUAAUAGCAAAUCAACUGUUUGGUUGAAUGUAAUGGAAUAGAGGCGUAAUAGUAAAACUGUGUUUGGUUGAAUGUAAUAGAGGUGUAAUAGCAUAAUGGAGAAAACUAAAAUGACCAGAAUACCCUUAGCAUAAAUUUGUUUUGGUAAAUGAUUAUUGUUAUUGUUAUUUAAAUUUUAAUAAGAUUAUUUAUUAUCAAAAAUAAAUAAUUUAAUCAUAUUUAAACAUAAUUAUUAUUUAAUAUAUUUUAAUUAAAAUAUAUAAUUUAAUAAAAUUCUUAAUAAUUAGCAGAAUUUGUUUUGGUAAAUUAUUUUAUUUAAAUUUUAAUAAGAUUAUUAAUAUCAAUAAUAAAUAAUUUAAUCAUAUUUAAACAUAAUUAUUAUUAAAUAUAUUUUAAUUAAAAUAUAUAAUUUAAUAAAAUUCUUAAUAAUUAAUAUUCUUAUAUGAAUUUACUCAAACCAUAAUAUAUGAUACUGUAAAAUAUAAAAUAACAUAAUUAUUAUUAAAUAUAAUAUAAUUAAAAUAUAUAAUUUAAUAAAAUUCUUAAUAAUUAAUAUUCUUAUAUGAAUUUACUCAAAUCAUAAUAUAUGAUACUAUAAAAUAAAAUUUUAAAUAAUUAAUAUUAAAUAUAUUUUAAUUUAAAUAUAUGAUUUAAUAAAAUUUAAAAUAAUUAUAACUAAUAAAUUAUAUUUUAUGAAUUUGUAUAAUUUAAAAUAAUAAUUAUUACAUAUAAUUUAAUAAUAAUAUAAAAUUUCAUAAAAUUCUUGAUAAUAAAUUUUCUUAUAUGAAUUUAUACAAUUUAAAAUAAUGCCAAUGCCAACACUACCACAUUUGGGUUCAAAUUAUACUCAUAGUAAGCUCAAACUUUUAUUGAUGCCAAUGCCAACACUACCAAAACCUUUUGGACAAUUAUUUCGAAGAUUUAAACCAACAAAAAGAAAAUCAAUAAGUAAUAAAACCAUAGAAAAUAAAAGAAAAAAUUUGCCUUUGAAGCACAUUCAAUUGUGCACUUGGUUCUCUUUGAUAUCUCCAUGAUUUCUUCAUCUUUAUUCAUAAUAUCAAACAUAGGCAAACAAAACGAUAAUUGUAACCCCCUACCCCUACCAACAUUUUAUUGUAAGUAUAACUAACACAGGAUAACUAGUUGGCCUCUUAAAACAGUCAAAGACCAGACCCCAAACCAAACCAAACUGCUAAACAACAAAGCAGACAUCAUUAAAAAGACCCCAUCCCCAGAUUGCAUCAUUUUCAAUUCUUAGAAAUGAGGAGCAUAGAGCUGGAGAACCUUCUGCUAGGACGGUCUGCUGCUAAUAUCAUCCCACCAAGCACUCACAUGCUUCCUGCUGGUUGUCAUGUAUUAGGGAUCACUUCCAGAACCCUGUUUUCCCUUAGCAACAUUUGCAAACUCACAAGCUCCAGACAACAAGGGACUGGAGAUGUUACCGUUAGCAUACUACACGCGUGAUUGCAAAUUUAUGAACAUUCAACUACAAAAGUCCAGAACCUACCAAAAUUUCUAAGCCAAUACCUCAGAAUCGAUUUGCUGAAUAUUGGGGAAAAUUUGUUUCAGGGUAGCAUUGUAGUUAGGAGACUGCGCUUGCAAUAAAACAGUACAGUUGAUCACAUAUGAGAAAGGUUAGGAGAGAAGAAUGACUACUAGGCCAGUAUAGAAGAUUGAGAAAUGUCAAACGAUAAUCACCAAUUGUGCAAAUAACUCUAUAGCUAAAAUGAAUGCAAUAUGCCAAGGGGAGGAUGAUGAUAUAGACUUAACUGAACUUAGCCCAGGAAGGUAGAAAACUACUUUAGAUGGAUGCCACUACUUUGGUGAUCAUAUAUUUAAUCACCUAUAGCUAGAUUCAGAUCAUCCAUAAUUUCAACUAUCAAACCAUCACAUUAUGCGCAGAUGAAAGUGACACAGCUUAAUACUAGCUUGAGAAGCUGGUUCAUUCAUUAUUUGCAAAUUACUCAGAAGUGGUUCAAUAGUUUAGUUUAUAUAUAGAUACGAGUCUCCACAGCAUAAACAAGAAUAAUACCUAAAGUUGAAAUGCAAAUCUUAGCACAAACUCUUGGCCAACAGAUCAAGAAAACAUUUAACAAAAAAGUACCUGCUUUAUUAGGCAAACAAAGACGAGAAAAACACAUUGCAAUGUUGGAAUUGAAAGGAGAAAUGAAACAAACAUUGAGAUUUCGAAAAAGUACUUUACUCCAGAGGUGUCAAGCAAAUAUACCAAAAAAAAUAUAAGCUAGAAAGUUUAGAAGAUAAUACUCAAGAGGUUUAUAUAAAAGUUAACAAGUGGAAAAAAACAGAAGGAUUAAAAUCAUACCUGAUGCCCCUACUACUACCUCCCCAAUCACAAUAGCUUACAAUUAGCUUUUUAAGUUGCUAAACUCCUCGCAAUGCCAUCUUCAUUUUCUAAACAUAAAAAAAUUAUUAACUAAGUAUAUGUUUUAACCCCCCUUUUUAUUUUCUAAAUAGCAAUACAUAUAAAACAAAUGAAUUGCACCCUUUGUUUUUGCCAAUUAUUUCCAUAAAAUUCAGAAUAUAAUGCUAACUUAAAUACUAUAAUUCAACCAUAAGACAUUAAUUUUUUCAGAAAAUUCAAGAAAGUGAAAGCAAAUAGUAAAACCAUUUUGAACAAUACGAUUAAAUAAAUACUCAACACCUCCUACAACUUAGCAUUUCAACUACACAAAUUCACAAUGUAACCUACUAAUUACAACUUCGACCUACAAAUUUAUAUUUUACAACAAACAAAAAUCCCGCUUCUAAUCAACUAUCCUUAAUGUAACAUAUAAUGAGGAAAAAGAAAACAAUAUUUCAAAGAUUCUAUCACAGGAAAAAAAAUCAAAUCAAAACAGAAAAUUUGAACAGCAUACAUAUAAAUGGUCUUCUAAAAUUGACCAAGAAAAAAGAAAACAACAACAUUUUCAAACCCAAUAACUUGAACCCAAAAUCACCCCCCAAACAAUAGUUUGCAUGCAAAGAGAUUAUAAAUAACAGCAGAAAAAACAUAGAUCUAGUAAAAAGAGACUCGAAUUAGAAAAAAAUUUUAAAGAAAGAAAAAUAGAACAGAGAAAUCAACAGGCAAGAAUGCAAAUAAAGGGGAAAAAAUAAUAGGCAAAAUAUGGGAAUUUUACCUGACAAAUGAAAUCGAUUCUCAGAGAAGACGAUGAGUGUCUAGACACGAAUGAAAAGCAUCCAACUUAUAUGAUAUUCCCAAUUAGAAGUGUUUCGAAAUUCGACAAAGAUAAAUAAAAUCAAAAUCAAAAUCAAAAUCGAUUCUACAGAAAAGAAAAGAAAAGAAAAACAGGGAAAAAUUUGGAAGAAGAAGCAGAAAUAUGGAGAAAAGAAAAUGGAGAAAAGAAAAGAAAUGUGAGAAGAAAAGAAGCGUAUCGUACCAGAAGAAGAAGUAGAAAUCUGGAAAGGAAAAAAUUUAGAAACGUCGGAAGAGGGUGAGGGAAAAGAAAUUACCUGUGCAAAGAAGCAUGAGAGAAUCGGAGCGUUGAGGACGAGGGCAGAAAACGGAAGAGAAAAAAGGGAAAGACGCGGAAUGGGUAAUCGGCGCUGAGGGAGCGUAAUGCCUAUUACCCGCAGUCAAUGUAAUGGGGGAGUAACUGAUUCGGCGCGGAAUGAGAAAACAACGAACCAAACGCCGGAAUAGGUCGGUAAUGUAAUAGGCGCGUAAUCGGGGAGUAAUGGUAUACCUAUUACAGCGAACCAAACACGCUGUUAGUGUUAAAAUUUAGCUAGAUUUUUCCUAAAAUAUUAUCACGAGAUAAAUCAAAAUUUUAAAAAUCAAAUUUAAACUAAAGAUCAAAUUUAAAUUAAUUAUAGAAUUUUAACAAUAUAAAAAAUAAUUUGAUCUUUAUCCAGCCAAUUUCAAUUCUUCAAUUUUUAUCCAGCCUACUUCAAAUCUUUAAUCUUUAUCCAGCCAACUUCAAAUAUUCAAUCUUUUAAUAUAGAGUAGUAGGGUCGAAUCCACAAGGACUGGCUAUCCAAUUUCGCUUUUUUUUUCCGUGACUAGAAUCACUGUCGCGGUCACAAUCACGCCCACGACCUGUGCGGAGCAAUGCUGAAAAAAAAAGGGUUUUAGUUGGUAAAGAUAAUAAAAUAAGUAAAUACAUAGUGUAAUAAAAUCAAAAUAAGAAUAGAUUCGAAAUUGCAAGAAAAAUCAAAUCACUUGACAGUGACCACUCUUGGUUUCACUAUCCCAAUUCCUUUUAACUCGGUUUUUGGGAUGUGACAUGAUGUGUCAUCACUUGACGUUGGUGAACGAAAAAGAUAAAAUCAAAUAGUUGGGUGACUAUUUUAUAACUUUUCAUAGUUAGAUGAUCAAAAGAAAAAUUUACUAAUAAUUGAGUGACUACUAAUAUAAUUUACCCAAAAUGUUUUAAGAGCUCACCAAAUGAAGAAAGAUAGCCUAAUAUAACUAUUAUUAAUAAGCACAUGUAUGUUUUGAUUUGAUAAAACACAUAGGUAUGGGCGAUAUUUAAAAGGGCCAAAAUAAGGUUUUAAAAGUUUGUGGGCACCAAAUAUAAAAAAAAUUGCUUAAAAAGAUUUAAAUUAAAUAAUUCAAAACUAUAAUGGACUAGAAUUGUUAUUUUACACUUUAACUAAAAGGGACCAAGGCGACUUCCUUCCCCCUAGCUACACCUCUGCAUCUAGGUAAUGUAAAAUUCACUUGAGUAUCACUAAACAUAGAAGUAUAUUUAGCGCAAGAAAUUUUAUGUUUCCUUACAUAAGUUUAGUUGAUUCGAGACAUGGUCUUUCGAGCUGCAUUAAAUCGAGUCACAACUUUUGUGUAAUUAUUGAGAUGGCUUAAUUAUCUUUCAAGAUGGUUAUAUUUAUAUUUUGGCUCAAAUAUGGGAUGUAUACAUAAGCCAACUUGGGGCAAAAGCCUUUUUGUGGUGUUAUGGCAUUAUACUUGUUGGGGGGAUGGGGCUAAGUCGAGCAUCAGCUUGAUUAUUCCAAAUUUUUUUAAACUUAAACUCGUUUUUACUUAAUUUAUCUAAGAAGCUUAUUUCACUAUUUUAAAAUUAAUAAAAUAUUAAAUAUAUAUUUAUAUUUAUAUUAAUAUUUUAUAUAUUUUUUGUAUUUAAAUUUAAAAAUAUUUUUAUUAUUAAAUUAAAUUUAAGUCAAACUAGAUUAACUCGAAAAAUAAAAAUCUUUAUCCUAAUUUGACCCAACCUACCACUCUCCUGGGCUAUGGAUAUAUCUAUCUUGUCUAUCCUAGUAUGUAUAUGCAUGUUGAGUUGGAGUAUGUUGAAAGGUCAUGAUAUACCUAUAUGAUUUUAUCAAUUGCCUUUUUUCUUUUUUUCUUUUUUGUGAAAUAUCAAUUGCUUUUAAGUACGUAGACAUGGAAGUUUAAUCGAAGUGAACUGCAUACGUUAUGGUUAGAUAGGAUCUGGGUAUCUAUAUGAAUGGGAGAUUUAAAGACUAAAGGUUGGGGUUUUAAGUUAUAACUACGGCCUAUAAAUUCAUUAAAUGAGGACCAAUGUAGUAAAGGCUGAUUAAAAGUUGGGAUUUGUCUAGGGUACCUUCGGAUAUAGGAUUAAAUAUCGUCACGAUUCUCAAUUAAGGGUGUUAGAGGAGUUGGACAUACCGAAAACCUGGACUGAUUCUUUCUUAGCCUUCCAUGUCCUUCCAUGUCUAUUUUUAUUCCCCUUUUCUUUCUUUCUUUCUUACUUUCCUUAGUUCCAUGAUUUCUUCUCCAUCAAACUCAAAAACACUUUUGAGUACUUUCCCUCCUUCAAUCUCACAAUCCCUUCCACCCUACAAACUCUUUCUAUAUUAGUGGUACAGAUUGAGAGAUAAUCGAGAUUAUUAAUUGAAAAAUGGGAACUAAUUUUGAAAACGUCGAAAAUUAUGUAUGGAUUGAUUCGGGAAUUUUAAAGGUAAUCAAUUAUAGUGUUUAUAUUAUAAUAUGAGUUUGAUAUAAUCAACGUAAAAAGAUUGACUAUAAUUUUCCCUGUUUGUAUUUGGUUAUAUUGUAUAAAAAAAAAGCUGUCAUUCAUAUCCAUAAGUAUCCCAACACCCUUCAUUUUGAUGCACUCCUACUUUUAAAACAUGCCAACUUGAUACCCAAAGAUGUGAAACAAGCAAAUCUUAUGAAUCCAAAAUUUUCACCAUAAUUGGAUCACUUAAGAGGAAUAAAAGCAUCAUGAAACUCAACAUUUUCCACAGUAUCCUUGGAGGGAGAUUUGAAACCAACACUGUCAUACGUGCCAUUUUCUUUUUUCACACUUAAUUCCUUGAGAUUUCUCUUUUGUUGAGAGGUAGAAUGCCUAGCUAGGACCUUAGGCAAUAGGCAAGCCAUUUUGUAAACCGAUACUACUGCGUGAUUCGACUCAUAUUGAUCCUCUGUUGUUUUUCACAUUUUGUUUCCAGUUGAAGACAGCAAGUCGAAUGGCAUUUUUUAAGGAGUAAAGGAAAAAAAAGAAGCAAGAUGAUGCUCUUGGCAUUACAUGUAAGGCAUAGGCAACUCAUGAAAAGAACAAAUAUAUAUUUGCGUAACACAUAUGUAUUAUGUUACAACUAUGAUUUCUGUUGGGUAUGGGUCCCACUAUGUGGGAAACCCAUAUUUUCUACCAUAAUGUUUUGUCUCUCUUUUUGGUUUUGUCAAAAGCCAUUUUUGGGGGGGCUUUUAACGGGUGAUGUGGGCAGAAAUUUUUGCAGAGCUAAACAAAAAAAAAUCUCAAAUUAAAACACAGAGAGAGAGAAGAAAAUUUCAGUUUUUCAAGCUUGGUGCAGUAGUGAUCAACUCUUCGAUCGAAGGUCCAUCCGUGGUUUGAUUGAGCUGAUUUUUGGACAGCAGCUAGGCGAUAAGGUGCUCUUGACUUUGUACGGUCGGAUUUCUCAUCCGAGACUUGUAGCGUCGGAAAUACCCAUUUUUCAGCAGCUACGUUUUUGGUGAUGUUCUCUCAUUUUUCUCUCUUUUGCUAAAGAUUACAUAUUGUUAGCCUUGUCGGAGUUGAAUGCUUGUUGUAGGCUUGAUAUUGUGAUCUUGUAGUCGAACAUUUGAUGAUAGUAGAGCUCUUGAUCGGACUCUAAAGUCCCGUGGUUUUUUACCCUUGAUUUAAAGGGGUUUUCCACGUAAAAAUACCGGUGUCUCUAUUUAUUUUUGUUGUGGUUGCAUUAGUUGAUUUGUGGUUGAUUAAGGUUGCUAGAGAACAUAUCUUGUGCUAUUGUGCUUGCCAUAAUUUUUGACAGGAGUUAUAAGGAGAGAAAGAACACCGGUUGUGCUUUCGCUUUGUUUCGGUUGUUCGGUUUCUUCCCAACAAACUGGUACCAGAGCUUGGUUAUUGUGUCAGGUAAUUAUGGAAAUUAAUACGAGCAAGAUGAUUAUGUUGAAUGGCACAAAUUAUCAAUUUUGGCGGAAUAAAAUGAAGGACUUGUUGUUUGUGAAGGCUUUGCAUCUUCUGGUCUUUACUACUCAAAAACCCGAUUCGAAAAGUGAUGAAGAAUGGGAAUUUGAGCAUCAACAAGUGUGUGGCUUUAUUCGGCAAUUUGUUGAAGAAAAUGUUUACAACCACAUUGAUCAAGAGACACAUGCUCGAACAUUGUGGGAGAAGCUUGAAAGCUUGUAUGCUUCGAGGUCGUGUAACACCCCGACUCGUGUCCGUCGCCGGAUUAGUGUUACGAGGCAUUACCGAUCAAAACCCGACUCAAUUUUUUUUUUUUAUAAAUAAAUUAAUCCAUUAUAUAUAUACUAAGCCAUAAAUCCUAAUCAAUACACAUUUGAAUAUAUAUACAUUCGUUUACUCUAUCAAUACGCCAAACGUAAUUAAUCACCAACAUUUACAAGCAUACUUCAAUUUAUAAAUCAUCUCCUAUAUUCACUUAACUACUAAAUCCAACCAAAUCAUAUAUAUUUCAUAUAUAAUACGUAACCUAGACACUUAACUUAACAUUAUUUAUCUUAAUGAAUAUAACAAACUUACUUACUUCAACCACAUAAUUACCGAAACACUUGAAUGAAAUCACCAUGCACAUAUAUAUAUUACCAUAUAAAUACUAACCAUAAAAUACUAAUCCAUGAUUAAAGUAUGCGUAAACCAUAAUUCAGCCCAAAAUCGAACACAAACAAGAAAAUUAAGCCAUUUUCGCAUGGCUUAAUAUUACAUAAUCUAAAUUCAAGUAUUUCAUCUACGCUAUACAUGCCAUAAGAUCGAAUUCAAAAUUUACAAAAUACCGAGAGGAGUCGAUAGUGUGAUAAUCUUCUCUGACGAUCCCCGAGCUCGUAACCAACUUCCAAAAAUCUAUAAAACGAAGAACAACAUACACACAGUAAGCUAUUUAAAGCUUAGUAAGUCAUAAGCAAAAAUUCAUUUAUAUAUAUAUUAAUACUUAUUCCAUCAUUAAGUUAAAAUAAACCAAAUAUCAUAAUAUUUUGUACCAUAUAACACUUUAAUAAAAAUCACAUUGUAUUUUCAUAUAAACAAACCAUAUGGCCAAAUACACAUAAAUAUUUAGCAAAGCCGAAUAUUCAAUAAAUCAUUAUGCUAAAACAUACUUAUACUCAAAUGAUUAACUCAUACUCUAUAUUUCAUUUGAAACUAUUAUCAAAUUAAAAUAAUCAACUUACCUCAUCAGCAAUUAAGCAAAUGGCUAACACAUACCUGAAUAAUUUAACUUUCUUAACACAUUUAUUUGCUUUUACUAUUGCUCCUAUAAAAUUUAUAAAACAUAGAGCCCUAUAUAAAACACCGGCAUAAAGCCUGCUAGGCACAAAGCCCGAUUCAUUUCACCGGCACAAAGCCUGCUAGACAUAAAGUCGGAAUUAAUUCACCGGCAUCAAGCCUGCUAGACAUAAAGUCUAAAAUAAUUCACCGGCAUCAAGCCUGCUAGGCAUUAAGCCUGAAAUAAUCCACCGGCAUCAAGCCUGCUAGACAUAAAGUCUAAAAUAAUUCACUGGCAUCAAGCCUGCUAGGCAUUAAGCCUGAAAUAAUCCACCGGCAUCAAGCCUGCUAGACAUAAAGUCUAAAAUAAUUCACCGGCAUCAAGCCUGCUAGGCAUUAAGCCUGAAAUAAUCCACCGGCAUCAAGCCUGCUAGGUAUUAAGCCUGAAAUAAUCCACCGGCAUCAAGCCUGCUAGGCAUUAAGCCUGAAAAUCUCAUAUACAAAGAUGAUCUUUCGUAUAAUUCUUUAUGUUUACCUAAGUCUUACUCAAUAACCGUAUCUCCGUAAGAAUUGAAUUAUAUUCAAUUCUCCAUAGCAAACAAACAUUCGAACCACAUAUGUAUAAUUUACAACAUUAAAAUUCAGCUCAAAGAAUUUGUAACCUAUAUUCGAACCACAUAUGUAAGUAAAAUUCAUACAUUAAAUUCAGCUCAAGAACUUUGUAACCUAUAUUUGAACCACAUAUGUAUAUAAAAUUCAUACAUUAAAUAUAGCUCAAGAACUUUAAAUAUAUAUAUUCGAACCAUAUGUGCAUAUAUAUAUAAUUCAUAAUAUUAAGUUCAACUCAAAGAAUCAAAGAACUUGUAUCAUACAUUCAAACUUUAUAUAUAUAAUUCAUAACUUUAAAUUCAACUCAAGAAAUUAAAUCUUACAUUCGAACUACAUAUCCAUGUAAAUUCUACUAUUAGUUUCAUAUCAUUGAACUUAAAGCAUACUUUAGCUAAUAUACAUGUAAUUUAUACCAUUAAUAUCAACCUCCCAAAAUUAAUUUCUAUGUUCGGCUAUCACAUAGAAAAAUCACCAAGUUUUAUUCAAUUUAUAUACUUUUAGUUCCAGCUUACUAAAUGUAUGAUAGAUAUAUUUAUAUAAAUUCCAAUUUAAUAACAUUUAAAUUGCUAUUAGACUUACCUUGGAUGUCGUCGACUGUUAAAUCGGCUACUCGACCACUUUUGUAUUUCCCCGAUCCAAAUCCGAUUUCUUUAAUUCUUGAUCUAAGCAUAUUCAAAUUAAGUUUAUUUAAACAUCAUUCUAUUCAAUUUAACCUAAAAACACAUAAAUAGGCAAAUUACAAUUUUUCCCCUAACAUUUCACACUUUUUACAAUUUAGUCCUUUUUGCUCAAAACACAAAAUACACAAAAUUUGACUUCACUCCUUAAGGGCCGAAUAUUCCUAGUGUCCAUACAAGCCCACAUAUUUCAUUUAUUUCACAUUUUAGUCCCUCAAAAAUUUAUUUUUACAAUUAAACCCUAAUUACUCAAAUUCAUCAAAAACUCAAAGACACGACAUGUUAAUCUUUCACAUAUCUUUCAUAUUCCAUCAUCAACUAUCACAAAGCUCAAGCAUUCAUCAAUGGCAUUUCUCAAAAUCAUCAACAAUUCACAAAAUUAAGAUAUGGGUUUUGAAGUAUUCAAAGCAAUGAUCUCAAAAACGUAAAAAUUAUCAAAAACCAAACAAAAACCAACCUUGAAUUAAGCUUCAAAAUGGCCGAAUGUUUCAAGCUUUCAAACCUUGUUUUUCUUUUCUACAUUCGGUGAAGAAAGAUGAACAUAAAAUGGUGGCUUUUAAUGUUUUGUUUUAUUAUAACAUAUAUUAUUAUAUUAUUAUUUUAACUUUUAUUUUAUAUAUAUAAAUCACAUAUCAUCAUUAUGCCAUCCACUACCUAUUACUAUUGGCUAAAUUACAACAUAAGGCCUCAAACUUAUAAAGACAACAACAAUUAGGCACUUUCUUAAUUAACCAUCAAAUUUUCAUUUUACGCGAUUAAGCCAUUUUUUUUUAAAUUAAGCGCACAAACAUAAAAUUAAUUCACGAAACUUUCACAUAUGUAAAUUCACACAUAAUUAACACAGAAAAUAAUAUUAAAAUAUUUUUCAGACUCGAUUUUGUGGUCCCAAAACCACUGUUCCGAUUAGGGUCAAAAUCGGGCUGUUACAACUCUCCCCCUCUUAGGGAUUUUCGUCCCCGAAAAUCUUACCGGUGAAUAGGUUUGGAUAACGCUCUUCCAUUGUAUCUUCUGACUCCCAAGUUGCCUCCUCAACUCUGUGUUUUUGCCAUAGUACUUUGACUAACUAAAUUUUCUUAUUUCUCAAUUCUUUAAUAUCACGAGUCAGAAUACAAAUCGGUUCCUCUUCAUAUGUCAUAUCAGAUUGCAUCUCAAUCUCUGUGGGACUAAUCACAUGUGAAGGAUUAGAUAGGUAUCUAUGGAGCAUCGAAACAUGGAAUACAUUGUGAAUCUUUUCUAGCUCAGGUGGCAACUACAAUCUAUAAGCAACCAGCCCGAUACGCUCUAUAAUCUCAUACGACCCAAUAAAUCUCACACUCAAUUUCUUUUUACGAUCAAAUCUAAGUAUUUUCUUCCACUGUGAUACCUACAAAAAGACUUUAUCUCCAAUCUGAAACUCUAUAUCUUUUCUUUUCAAGUCUGCAUACAAUUUCUGACGAUUCAAUGUUGUUUUUUUUAGACUAUCGCGAAACACUUUCACAUCAUAUAUUUCAAAUUCACACAUAGCUUCAAAUUUCAAAUCUCUUUAAUCUCACAACUAAAAUUCUGAUCUAACUUUCAGUGUACAUCAUCCCUAGCUGAAACUGCUUAACUGUAUUAAAUUUUUUUUUUCCAUUUUCUACUCACAUUCUCUGAUGAUUUUAAUCCUGUGAAUCAUUUUCUCACAAAACUCAAUCCUGAAAUAACGGAGUUCGAUAAUUGCUUAUAAUAGCAAACAUCUUUCUUAGUUACUUUGCAAUUCUAAAACAUAGUGACAAAUAAAUAUUUCAAGAAUUUGGUUUGCGUUUCCCGAUUUCAAUGCAAUUUCAUACUCAUAGAUUACUGUAAUCUCUCUUAGAAUUACCAUAUAAAUUUCAAAUCUCAAUCCAAAACAAUGAUAACUGACACCAUAGACAGAUUUACCAACACAGAAACACAUAACUUAACUGUUUUAUCAAAAGAAAAAAAAAUCUAUACUUACAGAGAGAUUUCUUCAGAGAGUUAACCAUAUUUAAGAUAACUUUAUCUUUUUCAAUGAUAAGAAAAUCCUUAUACAAAAUUCAUCAACUCUCUAUUUCUAUAAUCAACAAAGUCAGAAAUAUCACAUUUCACACUCAUCAUCUAUAUCAUAUCUCGGACUAUUGUACAUCUUGUUAAUCCCGUAUGAACACCAGUGAAAUUUUCUUGUAACAAUUGUUAUAUAUUCGUAGAACCUUCCAGUAUGCACACUCUAUCUCGAAAUAACAAAUAAUCAUCAAUACCACAUCUAAGGUUCUAAGCCGGAAAUCAAUUUAUGUUGAACUCCUUUUUAACUUAUAAUUCGCUGACACAUUUCUAAAUUUCACAACUUCAUUAUAUAAACAUUUAUUUAGCCUCUAAUUCAUCUAUCAACAGUUCAUUACGUGAUAAGAUCAAUCACGUAUUCAUCGCCCAAUCAAAAUAUCCGAAACUUUAAUCAUUUUCCUCGGAUAAGAAUCACUUACAGACUUAAAAGUUUUUCGACGAUUGAAACUAACCUUGCUUUGCCUAGUUCAAAUCUUUAUCUGACAUUAAACAUUUUAAACUCUUAUAAUCAUCAAAUAUUUCACAUAACUCUUUUUAUGCAGCUUUAACUGUAUAAAAUUAGAAGAUAUCUCUAUACACUCUUGUAUUGAAAUACAUUUCGAACCAUUCAUUAACAUGAGGACGAAAAUCAUAAUCUCUUUAUUAAACUCAAACUGAACCAGAACUGAUAUUUCGGUCGACAUUGUCUUCGGGCAAAAGAAAACUUCAACAAUCAAACUAACUUUAAUUUAUCACAACAUUUCCCAGAUAGGAUCAUUCCGAUAGAUAUAAUUCGGUAUCAAGUCUUCAAGAAUAUAAGUUCUUCUUCCAGAUUAUCCCUCAAUUCACACAUGUUCAUUCAAAAUUUAUUUCCAUACUUAUGAAUAGAUUUAGACACAUAUAACUCAAUUAUCUUUUUAAACAAAUAAUUCAAAUUCGACUAAACCACUGAAUCAGUCUUUUCGAAUGAAUCUUUUCUUCUCAUUGAUAAGGAUAACCCAGACAUAUUAUUUCAUAGAUUUAAUAUUAUUCUUCUAUCAUUUUCACUUUUAUCAAUGCUAAACCUUUAUGAGAACUAGAAAAGAGUUUAUAAUGAAGCUAUCUCAUAUAUUAUUCAUCGAAACUCUAAAUUAUACAGAAAUUACCUUAACCAAAUAGAAAUCAUUGUGCCUUAAUAAGAACAAUGUCUCAACCCUAUAAAUAGAUAUUAUCCCAACUGUUAAUGAAGCAUUUGGACACAGAGAAAAAUCAAAUAUGAUUUAAAUAGCAACCAUUGCAGAAACAAAACUUCUAUAACUCUGGGGAUGGUACCACUGUACAAUCACAUUUCAAGUCAGAAAUUAAAAUCAUAAUAAACAUAAUCCUCUUUGCCAAAUAGUGAUCUCUUGCAGAUAAUCACGUGGAAUCAUAAGAAAACCAGAAUAGCGAAAUUUCAGCAUAUGGAGUCACAUAAGAUAUCUAAGAAAAAAAUUUACAACCUAUAUAAAAUGAUAUAAAAUUCCAAUGAUAUCCUAGAAAAUGUCCAGAAAGAACGAUGUCAUUCUUAAAUACUGAAAUCUACAGUAACAAAAGCAAUAUAAUCUUCGCAUAUAUUCAACAGAACAAUAACCAGUAGAAAUAGAAUAUUGAUCUCAUUCAAAUUUUACCAUCGACUUUCGUAUCCACACAAUGAAACAAAUUAUCAGUGAAAGAGAUAACAAUGUCGAACAUAACCCAAACAAAUCAACCAUGCUUUCAUCUAUCAGUACAUUUAGUUAGCGUUUUCACACGAUAAGAAUUUUCUUCUUCUUCUUUUUUUUUUUGAAUUAAAAAAAAUCACAUAUACUUCUGAAGAUAAAUGUACACACAGAAUACCCAAAAAAGAAUCAUAGUAAUUGCCCGACUAUAACCAUUGUACUCAACUAUCAACACAAUUCAAUCAUUAUUCCACUAUCUAAUUUUUUUAUCAGAAAUUUUUCACAUUAUCCCAUCUCUAAAAGAAAUCAAUUCAGGAAAAACUUCCAAUUAAUACUAAUAACAUACCUGAAUACUUUUAUUUCAUCAGAUUCAACUUCUUAGUUAACAGUGACUUUGCAUAAUACGAAUGGCCAUUAAAACGAUUCAAUAUCUCUUAUAGCACUAUCUCAAUUUGCUGACCCAUUCUUUUAUUCGACCACAUUAGUAAUCUUUCAAACACAAACCUCUGUAACUCCACACUUGUGAGCUUAUUCGAUCCAAAUCUUACAGAUUUCAUUGUAACAUUUUACUGAUAAGGGGUGAGGGUAGUAAAACUUCGAAUUUAACUCGGACAUAAAUGCACAUAACACAUACUAUUACAAAUAGCCAAUUUAUUAAUAAUUUCACAUUCUCGAAACAUUUAAUAAACAUUUGCUUAUAAUCACAUUUUUCCUCAACACAUAAUCCAUAUGCCAACUCAAAUCACAAAUUCACAAUCAAAGCAUUCAUAUAGCAAUCGUAGGCCACAUAUCACAACUCAUAUACUCAUAUCAUUACAACAUUUAUCAACAACAAAAUAUCUUAUAUCCUUAUUCAUACCUUCAUGAGUCUCAACUCAUCAUCAACACAUUUUCACUCAAACAUUUGAGUAUUUACUUCUGUACUAUCAAAAUUAGCUCGGUUGGAAAACAUAUCUGUCUCAUCAAAACAAUUUUCGUCAGAGUCGGGAGAUAUCACACUAUCGUAGGUUAAUUAUGGCAUGUAUAGCUAGACUCACACACACUACGUUAGUCCUAGAACCGACUAAACCGUAGCUCUGAUACCAAUCAAAUGUAACACCCCGACUCGUGUUCGUCGCCGGAUUAGUGUUACGAGGCAUUACCGAUCAAAACCCGACUCAAUUUUUUUUUUUAUAAAUAAAUUAAUCCAUUAUAUAUAUACUAAGCCAUAAAUCCUAAUCAAUACACAUUUGAAUAUAUAUACAUUCGUUUACUCUAUCAAUACGCCAAACGUAAUUAAUCACCAACAUUUACAAGCAUACUUCAAUUUAUAAAUCAUCUCCUAUAUUCACUUAACUACUAAAUCCAACCAAAUCAUAUAUAUUUCAUAUAUAAUACGUAACCUAGACACUUAACUUAACAUUAUUUAUCUUAAUGAAUAUAACAAACUUACUUACUUCAACCACAUAAUUACCGAAACACUUGAAUGAAAUCACCAUGCACAUAUAUAUAUUACCAUAUAAAUACUAACCAUAAAAUACUAAUCCAUGAUUAAAGUAUGCGUAAACCAUAAUUCAGCCCAAAAUCGAACACAAACAAGAAAAUUAAGCCAUUUUCGCAUGGCUUAAUAUUACAUAAUCUAAAUUCAAGUAUUUCAUCUACGCUAUACAUGCCAUAAGAUCGAAUUCAAAAUUUACAAAAUACCGAGAGGAGUCGAUAGUGUGAUAAUCUUCUCUGACGAUCCCCGAGCUCGUAACCAACUUCCAAAAUCUAUAAAACGAAGAACAACAUACACACAGUAAGCUAUUUAAAGCUUAGUAAGUCAUAAGCAAAAAUUCAUUUAUAUAUAUAUUAAUACUUAUUCCAUCAUUAAGUUAAAAUAAACCAAAUAUCAUAAUAUUUUGUACCAUAUAACACUUUAAUAAAAAUCACAUUGUAUUUUCAUAUAAACAAACCAUAUGGCCAAAUACACAUAAAUAUUUAGCAAAGCCGAAUAUUCAAUAAAUCAUUAUGCUAAAACAUACUUAUACUCAAAUGAUUAACUCAUACUCUAUAUUUCAUUUGAAACUAUUAUCAAAUUAAAAUAAUCAACUUACCUCAUCAGCAAUUAAGCAAAUGGCUAACACAUACCUGAAUAAUUUAACUUUCUUAACACAUUUAUUUGCUUUUACUAUUGCUCCUAUAAAAUUUAUAAAACAUAGAGCCCUAUAUAAAACACCGGCAUAAAGCCUGCUAGGCACAAAGCCCGAUUCAUUUCACCGGCACAAAGCCUGCUAGACAUAAAGUCGGAAUUAAUUCACCGGCAUCAAGCCUGCUAGACAUAAAGUCUAAAAUAAUUCACCGGCAUCAAGCCUGCUAGGCAUUAAGCCUGAAAUAAUCCACCGGCAUCAAGCCUGCUAGACAUAAAGUCUAAAAUAAUUCACCGGCAUCAAGCCUGCUAGGCAUUAAGCCUGAAAUAAUCCACCGGCAUCAAGCCUGCUAGACAUAAAGUCUAAAAUAAUUCACCGGCAUCAAGCCUGCUAGGCAUUAAGCCUGAAAUAAUCCACCGGCAUCAAGCCUGCUAGGCAUUAAGCCUGAAAUAAUCCACCGGCAUCAAGCCUGCUAGGCAUUAAGCCUGAAAAUCUCAUAUACAAAGAUGAUCUUUCGUAUAAUUCUUUAUGUUUACCUAAGUCUUACUCAAUAACCGUAUCUCCGUAAGAAUUGAAUUAUAUUCAAUUCUCCAUAGCAAACAAACAUUCGAACCACAUAUGUAUAAUUUACAACAUUAAAAUUCAGCUCAAAGAAUUUGUAACCUAUAUUCGAACCACAUAUGUAAGUAAAAUUCAUACAUUAAAUUCAGCUCAAGAACUUUGUAACCUAUAUUUGAACCACAUAUGUAUAUAAAAUUCAUACAUUAAAUACAGCUCAAGAACUUUAAAUAUAUAUAUUCGAACCAUAUGUGCAUAUAUAUAUAAUUCAUAAUAUUAAGUUCAACUCAAAGAAUCAAAGAACUUGUAUCAUACAUUCAAACUUUAUAUAUAUAAUUCAUAACUUUAAAUUCAACUCAAGAAAUUAAAUCUUACAUUCGAACUACAUAUCCAUGUAAAUUCUACUAUUAGUUUCAUAUCAUUGAACUUAAAGCAUACUUUAGCUAAUAUACAUGUAAUUUAUACCAUUAAUAUCAACCUCCCAAAAUUAAUUUCUAUGUUCGGCUAUCACAUAGAAAAAUCACCAAGUUUUAUUCAAUUUAUAUACUUUUAGUUCCAGCUUACUAAAUGUAUGAUAGAUAUAUUUAUAUAAAUUCCAAUUUAAUAACAUUUAAAUUGCUAUUAGACUUACCUUGGAUGUCGUCGACUGUUAAAUCGGCUACUCGACCACUUUUGUAUUUCCCCGAUCCAAAUCCGAUUUCUUUAAUUCUUGAUCUAAGCAUAUUCAAAUUAAGUUUAUUUAAACAUCAUUCUAUUCAAUUUAACCUAAAAACACAUAAAUAGGCAAAUUACAAUUUUGCCCCUAACAUUUCACACUUUUUACAAUUUAGUCCUUUUUGCUCAAAACACAAAAUACACAAAAUUUGACUUCACUCCUUAAGGGCCGAAUAUUCCUAGUGUCCAUACAAGCCCACAUAUUUCAUUUGUUUCACAUUUUAGUCCCUCAAAAAUUUAUUUUUACAAUUAAACCCUAAUUACUCAAAUUCAUCAAAAACUCAAAGACACGACAUGUUAAUCUUUCACAUAUCUUUCAUAUUCCAUCAUCAACUAUCACAAAGCUCAAGCAUUCAUCAAUGGCAUUUCUCAAAAUCAUCAACAAUUCACAAAAUUAAGAUAUGGGUUUUGAAGUAUUCAAAGCAAUGAUCUCAAAAACGUAAAAAUUAUCAAAAACCAAACAAAAACCAACCUUGAAUUAAGCUUCAAAAUGGCCGAAUGUUUCAAGCUUUCAAACCUUGUUUUUCUUUUCUACAUUCGGUGAAGAAAGAUGAACAUAAAAUGGUGGCUUUUAAUGUUUUGUUUUAUUAUAACAUAUAUUAUUAUAUUAUUAUUUUAACUUUUAUUUUAUAUAUAUAAAUCACAUAUCAUCAUUAUGCCAUCCACUACCUAUUACUAUUGGCUAAAUUACAACAUAAGGCCUCAAACUUAUAAAGACAACAACAAUUAGGCACUUUCUUAAUUAACCAUCAAAUUUUCAUUUUACGCGAUUAAGCCAUUUUUUUUAAAUUAAGCGCACAAACAUAAAAUUAAUUCACGAAACUUUCACAUAUGUAAAUUCACACAUAAUUAACACAGAAAAUAAUAUUAAAAUAUUUUUCAGACUCGAUUUUGUGGUCCCAAAACCACUGUUCCGAUUAGGGUCAAAAUCGGGCUGUUACAGGUCGGGCAAUAACAAGUUGUUUUUGCUGAAGAAAAUGAUGGCGCUGAAAUAUAAAGAAGGAAUGUCUAUAGCUGACCAUGUUAGUGAAUUUCAGAGUGUGAUGAAUUAGUUGCUUGGUAUGGGUGUCAAAUUUGAUGACGAGAUUUUAGGACUUUGGUUGCUUGCUACUUUACCAGACUCUUGGGAGACCUUUCGAGUCUCACUCAUUAAUUCUGCCCCACAGGGUAUUAUUACUUUGGAUUUGGCUAAGAGUGGUGUGUUGAAUGAAGAGGUUAGAAGAAGAUCUCAGGGUUUUACAUCACAGUCCGAGGUGUUGGUUAUCGAGAACAGGGGGAGAAACAGAGACAAAGAUGGAAAGGGUAGAGAUAAAAGCCGAAGCAAGUCAAGAUCGAGAUACAAGAAUCUUGAGUGUCAUCAUUGUGGUAAGAAAGGUCAUAUCAAGAAAUAUUGCUUCAAGUGGAAGAAAGAGAACAAAGGUGGUGGUGAUAAACACGAUCGGAAUGACGAUGAAAAAUCCGAGCGUGUUGCUACUGUUACUCGUGAAGAUCUGUUAGUUAUUUGUGAUGAGAAUUUGGUCAACCUAGCAUGCGACGAGACUAGUUGGGUGAUUGAUACUGGUGCAUCACUUCAUGUCACGUCGAGGAAGGAAUUCUUCACAUCUUAUACUCCUGGUGAUUUUGGGGUAUUAAAGAUGGGUAAUGAUGGUUUGGUUUCGGUUAUUGGUAUAGGAGAUGUUAGCUUGGUAAGUAACAAUAGAACAAAGUUAACUCUCAAGGAUGUCAGACAUGCACCGGAUGUCCGUUUGAAUUUGAUUUCUGCAGGAAAACUUGAUGAUGAGGGAUUCUGUAACACCUUCAGUGAAGGGCAGUGGAAGCUGACUAAAGGCUCAUUGGUUGUGGCUCGAGGAAAGAAGAGCUCAAAUUUGUACUUGAUGCAAGCUUUGACUUCUUGAGAGACGGUGAAUGUGACACUGAAUGACAACUCAACUGAGUUGUGGCAUAAACGGCUCAGUCACAUGAGUGAGAAGGGGCUUAGCUGUUUAGCGAAGAAGAAUCAACUUUUGGGUUUAAAGAAUGCUACACUGAAGAAUUGUGCUCAUUGUCUAGCAGGAAAGCAGAGAAGAGUUUCAUUUAGAAUCCAUCCUCCUCAUAGGAAAUCAGAGUUGCUAGAGUUGGUCCAUUCAGAUGUUUGUGGUCCGAUAAAAGUAAGAUCACAUGGUGGUGCACUUUACUUUGUGACUUUCAUUGAUGAUUGUUCAAGAAAGCUAUGGGUUUACACUAUGAAGUCUAAAAAUCAAAUCUUUGAGGUGUUUAAACAGUUUCAAGCAUCAGUUGAAAGGGAAACUAGGAAGAAGUUGAAGUGCAUUCGUACUGAUAAUGGUGGCGAGUACACAGGUCGUUUCAUGAGUAUUGUCUGCGACAGGGAAUCAGACAUCAGAGAACACCACCAAAGACUCCACAGUUAAAUGGGUUAGCUGAAAGAAUGAACCGAACAUUGAUUGAGAGAGUCAGAUGUUUGUUGUCAGAUGCAAAGUUACCAAGAUCAUUUUGGGCUGAAGCUUUGAAUACAGUGACACAUGUGAUAAAUCUGUCUCCUAGUGUUCCUUUGAAAGGUGAUGUGCCAGAUAGAGUUUGGUUUGGUAAAGACGUGUCAUAUGAUCACCUACGUGUGUUCGGUUGUAAAGCAUUUGUUCAUGUUCCAAAGGAUGAAAGAUCCAAGUUGGAUGCCAAGGCUCGACAAUGCAUUUUUAUUGGUUAUGGUCUAGAUGGUGAGUUUGGUUAUAGACUCUAUGAUCCAGUUCAGAAGAAACUCGUGAGAAGCAGAGAUGUUGUCUUCAUUGAGGAUCAGACCAUUGAUGACAUUGAUAAGACGGAGAAAGUGGAUUCACAAGGUAGUGGUGACUUGAUCGAUGUGAAUCCGGUUCCCCUAGACUCUUCACCAGAUCCUAUCCAGGAUGAUGUGCAUGGUGAUGUUAGUGGUGACCAUCAGACUAUAGGUGACUUUGAUACUCCCAUGGAUGAUGUUGUGAAUGAUCAACAACAAGCACCUAUAGCUCCACCAGCAGUUCCACUUCGAAGGUCUUCCAGAGAUCGACGAUCUUCUGUCAGGUAUUCUCCUGAUGAAUAUGUUCUUUUGACUGACGGGGGAGAACCUGAAUGUUAUGAAGAGGCUAUGGAGAGUGAAUGCAAAGAUCAGUGGGUUGAAGCGAUGAAAGACGAACUUCAAUCCUUGCAUGAGAACCAUACUUUUGAAUUGGUGAAACUGCCUAAGGGCAAAAGAGCUUUGAAUAAUCGGUGGGUUUACAGGUUGAAGCAAAAAGAGAAGUCUUCAUCUCCACGAUACAAAGCUAGAUUGGUCGUCAAGGGUUAUACUUAGAAAAAAGGGGUUGAUUUUGAAGAAAUAUUUUCUCCGGUUGUGAAGAUGCCCUCUAUCAGAACUAUACUGAGUUUGGUAGCUUGUUAUGACCUAGAGGUUGAACAAAUGGAUGUGAAAACUGCUUUUCUUCAUGGUGACUUGGAAGAAGAGCUUUACAUGGAGCAGCCAGAGGGUUUUGUUGCACAAGGGAAAGAGGACUAUGUGUGCAGAUUGAAGAAGAGCUUGUAUGGUUUGAAGCAAGCUCCAAGGCAAUGGUACAAGAAGUUUGAGUCUGUUAUGGGGAAGCAAGGCUACAAGAAGACUACUUCUGAUCAUUGUGUGUUUGUUAAGAGAUUCUCUGGUGAUGAUUUUAUUAUUCUUUUGCUCUAUGUUGAUGAUAUGCUUAUUGUCGGUCAGAAUGCUUCUAGAAUUGAGAAGUUGAAACAAGAGUUGAGUAAAUCCUUUGCAAUGAAGGAUUUGGGGCCAGCAAAGCAAAUUCUUGGCAUAAGACUGACACGUGAUAGAAAGGCCAAGAAAUUAUGGUUAUCACAAGAGAGGUACAUUGAGAAAGUACUUCAAAGGUUUAGUAUGGACAAAGCUAAAGCGGUGAAUACUCCAUUUGCUAUUCACUUUAGAUUGAGUGUUAAGCAUAGUCCUUCCACAGAAAAGGAGAAGGAAGAGAUGCAGAAAAUUCCUUACUCUUCAGCCGUGGGUAGUUUGAUGUACGCAAUGGUUUGCACGAGACCAGACUUGGCUUAUGCCGUUGGUACAGUUAGUCGGUUUCUUUCUAAUCCAGGCAGAGAGCAUUGGAAUGCAGUGAAGUGGAUUAUGAGAUAUCUUCGUGGCACUUCCAACAUGAAACUUUGUUUCGGCAAUGAGAAACCUGUUCUUGUUGGGUAUACAGAUUCAGACAUGGCCGAAGACAUUGACUCGAGGAGAUCUACUUCAGGUUACUUAAUCACUUAUGCAGGGGGAGCUGUGGCAUGGCAAUCGAGACUGCAAAAGUGUGUUGCAUUGUCUACUACCGAAUCAGAGUUCAUUGCAGCAACCGAAGCGUGUAAAGAGAUGCUUUGGAUGAAGACGUUUGUGCAUGAGCUUGGUUUUACUCAGGAGAAGUAUGUCCUGUACUGUGAUAGCCAGAGUGCUAUUCAUCUUGGUAAGAACUCAACUUUUCAUGCUAGAUCUAAGCAUAUUGAUGUGAGGUACCAUUGGAUAAUAGAUGUUCUUGAAGCUAAGCUAUUAGAGCUUGAGAAGAUACACACUAAUGAUAAUGGUGCUGAUAUGUUGACGAAGGCCUUACCAAGAGGAAAGUUUGAAGCAUGUUGUUUGACCUCCGGCAUGGAGGCAUUCCCCACAUAGUUGGAGGGGGAGAUUUGUUGGGUAUGGGUCCCACUAUGUGGGAAACCCAUAUUUUCUGCCAUAAUGUUUUGUCUCUCUUUUUGGUUUUGUCAAAAGCCAUUUUUGGGGGGGCUUUUAACGGGUGAUGUGGCCAGAAAUUUUUGCAGAGCUAAACAAAAAAAAAUCUCAAAUUAAAACAGAGAGAAAGAGAGAAGAAAAUUUUAGUUUUUCAAGCUUGAUGCAGUAGUGAUCAACUCUUCGAUCGAAGGUCCAUCCGUGGUUCGAUUGAGCUGAUUUUUGGACAGCAGCUAGGCGAUAAGGUGUUCUUGACUUUGUACGGUCGGAUUUUUCAUCCGAGACUUGUAGCGUCGGAAAUACCUAUUUUUCAGCAGCUACAUUUUUGGUGAUGUUCUCUCAUUUUUCUCUCUUUUGCUAAAGAUUACAUAUUGUUAGCCUUGUCGGAGUUGAAUGCUUGUUGUAGGCUUGAUAUUGUGAUCUUGUAGUCGAACAUUUGAUGAUAGUAGAGCUCUUGAUCGGACUCUAAAGUCCCGUGGUUUUUUACCCUUGAUUUAAAGGGGUUUUCCACGUAAAAAUACCGGUGUCUCUAUUUAUUUUUGUUGUGGUUGCAUUAGUUGAUUUGUGGUUGAUUAAGGUUGCUAGAGAACAUAUCUUGUGCUAUUGUGCUUGCCAUAAUUUUUGACAGGAGUUAUAAGGAGAGAAAGAACACCGGUUGUGCUUUCGCUUUGUUUCGGUUGUUCGGUUUCUUCCCAACAAUUUCAUAGGCACCUGAUUUCAAAAACAACUGUAUCAGUCUUGCGAGGAAAUAGCCUCUGAUUUCAUGUUAUUGAUUUGUUUCUUUUCUUCCCUCACAUUCAGCCAUUUAUUUUUGAAGUUAUAUCAGCUCAGCUACACCAAAAACAAGCCUGCAGCCCACAAUACAAUCCUACUUUUAUGGAGCUUGAAUGUUUAUAAUGACAUUGUACAUAUGAUGAGGUUUUUUUUACAAGAAACCAGCAUAACUAUGGCUGCAGGAAUCUAUAAAUGAACCUUUGAGCAAAGAGGGUGAAUAUUUCUCAGCAAUUUUAUGGAGCUGUCGGGCCAAAUUCAAUAUAUUUUUAAAAUCUUAUCAAGAGAUAACUUUGAAAUGGGAUGUUGGGCCAAACGGAACUCGAAAAUUCUUUUAAAAUUGAUUGAUGUAACCCAUCAACAAGUCCAGUUGGCUCUUAUAGAGAGGAAGACCUGAACAUCUUAAUCUGAAAUCGAGAAAGGAGUGAAAUAGAGUAGCAUCCCAUCCCAUGCUCUAUGUUUUGAAGAUACUCCAUCAUUGUAGUUCCAUUUCCCCUCUUAGGAUCUCUUCACAUGCACACUUGGUUCAUUUCAUUUCCCAUCAAUCGGCAAACAGUAUUUUUUGUAAGUAAAAUUGACUUCUUUAUGAGUUUACCUCAACAAAUAGCUAAAUGUUUGAGCUUACAAUCAUGGUAUUUUAGUCAUAUUAUUAUAACUAUAAAUUAUACAGAUUCUGAUAAGUUAAUAUUUGAGUGUUUUAUUGAAUUCAUAACUGUGUGUAAAGUUUACUAUUACCAUGUUAAUGAAUCCGGAGUUAAUUUUAUUAAUUCAUAAGGUUAUUUUCAUGAGCUUAAAUAUUUUUCAUGGUUUAUCCAAAAACCAAAUUGUUUGACCAAGAUUGUAGAAAUAGAUGAAUUUUAUAAGAAUUUGCGGAUGUAUUUAAUCUCAUCAACCCAGCCUUCACGUUGGAAAUGAGAUCAUCAUUAGAGGAAUUGCAAAGUCUUUUCCCCUUUAUUUGGUUCUAAAACAAAUUAUUUUGCUUUGCUUAAUAUUAAAUCUGAAUAAUCUUUCUCCCUUAAAAAAAAAAAGUUUGAGGAUAGAGAUUAUCCUCUAUGAUAGAGGGGACUGAAUUGGAUGUCUUUUUCAGAAUUGAAAGGCAGUAAAGGUCAUAAAUAGAUUGAUUUUGUCUCUCUUCCAUUCAAAACCAAAAAUUGGCUUUCAAAAGUCUUAAAUCCUACUAUAAUUUAUUAUAAAUGCUCUUCACUAGGGCUUAUAUUUCUCAUUUCUAACUAUUUUGAGCAAGACUUAAAUUUCCUAUUUCAUAUUGUUAUACCCUUUUCUAAUACAAUACUUUAUUAACUGGUCAACAAAGUCUUGCUAAUGUUGAUAAAAUCAGAGAUUCUGGAAUUCUUGAAUACUCAAAUUCAAAUUUUAUAUAAAUUUUCAAUUAUUUUUAUUUUAAUUUAAGACUCACCAUAUGUAAGUUUAAUGUAUAUUUAAUUUGAUUUAGAUUUAAAUAUAUUUUGAAUAUCGUAAAUAAAUUUUAUUUUUCUAAAUUAUGCAUGUGCGGAUCAUAAUUGUAUUAUAUAUAAUAUAUAAGGAAAGUUGACGUCAGAAAUUGUAAAAAGUAUAAUAUAAAUAUUUUUAAUGCAUAAAGAUGGACCACUUCUAACUCAAAACUUGUAAUUUACAUAAUCAUAUUUUGUUAUAAAUGCCCUUAAUAUACGAAAUAAUAUUGAACACGUACCUGUUUUCAUAUUCAUUUUAGAGACGAAGUUCAAUUAACCUAAGCUCCAUUCAUCCAGAAAGUCUCUU